UACGUAGGGGGCAAGCGUUGUCUGGAAUCAUUGGGCGUAAAGAGCGUGUAGGCGGCCAGAAAAGUCCGCUGUGAAAACUCGAGGCUCAACUUCGAGCUGUCGGUGGAAACUUUCUGGCUAGAGUCCGGAAGAGGAGAAUGGAAUUCCUGGUGUAGCGGUGAAAUGCGCAGAUAUCAGGAAGAACACCCGUGGCGAAGGCGGUUCUCUGGGACGGUACUGACGCUGAGACGCGAAAGCGUGGGGAGCGAACAGG
rnacentral:rRNA from 1 species